UUUUCGGUCUCUCGCGACGAAUUUCUACACCGGUGAACGGAUUUUGUAUAUGAAUGCAGAUCCCUAGUGACAUCCUCCAUUUUCUAGCUAUGCUUUGGUGAUUCUUCCGAGCGUGCGAGUCCAAUCCCCAGGAGCGGAAGGCACUUUUUCUUCAACAGCGGCGAGGCGAGGAGAGCAGGAUCCACAAUCUGCUUCUGGAGAUUGGAACUGUCUUUGAACAUUUCUUUGAUUGGUCUUCUUCCCGUGAACAUUUCUAACACUAGGAUCCCAUAACUGUAUAUGUCCCCUUGUCUUGAUGGUUCACCACAAUUACGUACUCUGUAACUCAUGAAACAAUCAAGUUUAUAAGUUCUCUGCGGACUAGUUACAAAAUCGGAACAUUACGUCUAUUAUACGCUAACUUUUACUUUUGGUAAAUUAAGAGUUCUUCUGAUAGCUAAUUUCGUGUUUAGUUUUUAGUUUUCUUUUACCGGUCUUUCUACCUCUUCAAUAACUUAUCUGUCUAGGUAGAAAUUUGAGAAAUUGUGAAAGUGUGUUUAGAAGAGUUUUACCUGGAGCAGCAUAGCCAGUGGUUCCCGUUAUUCCAACCAUGAUAAUUUGAUUUAGAGGGGAGUCCGCGGUGGCUGAAAUGAGUCUUGCUAACCCAAAGUUUUUGAAGCUGAGAAACAUGUGAAAAUCGAGCUGGGAUUGUCCCAGAGAAUUUGUUUCCACCAAUGCCAAUUUGUUGGAGAUUAGGCAUGUUGAGGCCAAUGUCAGGUGGAUAAUGCCCCCAAGUUCAUUGCCUAUUUCCUCCGGAACUAUUCCCACCAUAAUGUUAUAUGCCAAGGAAAGUUGUGUAGUUGAUGAAUGAUUCCCCAAGGAAGAAGGGAUGCCUCCUGUUGCUGUUAGAUUGUUUGUGCCAAGAUAAAGUGUCAAAAGCUUUGCCAACGAGCCAAGUUCCUAUGGUAUAUUGCCCAUGAGACGGUUUGAUCUCAACUUAUGAUGCUCAAUUCAGAGCAGUAUAUUAAGUUGACUGGAAUUUCCCCUCCAAAAUGUUGUCACUGAGGUCACGAUACUGCAGUAGGAACAGAUGACCAAUUUGCUUUGGAAACUUGCCCGAGAAGCUGUUGUUUCGAAGGUUGAUGAGCCUAAGAAAGGAGAGGUUUCCGAUGUGAGGUGGUAUGGUUCCUUGCAAAACAGAGCCUGCAGGUUCAAGGAUCCUACUCUUUGAUGCCUCCUGCUGCAAGUAACUCCAUACCAGCUACAGAAGUGAAAGGAGUCAUUCCAUGAGUUCAAGAAUUCGUAUCGAUUAGCAGAUAUGGAUCCUUUAAAUUUGAGUAAUGCCAAUCGAUCAGUUCCGUUUCCAAAUGGAUUUCCAGAAGUGGUAUAUUGAAAAAGUUUCAUAACAAAGAGAAGGGUCGUCACAAAAAGGUAUAUAGGCCGAACGGAGCAUAAGCUUGGACCAUGAAGAUCCAUUAUUCAGUAAGCAGAAGCAGGAAUUCUGGUGAUAAAACUAUGCAGACUACGAGUUGUAGGACGAUGAGUAGCCUUUCCUCUGGACGAUUACUGGAUUCUUAACACCAUGACAAUUAGUUAACCUCUCAACACCAUGACCAAUGGGAAACAAUAAAUUAUGGAUUAAACUUCCAAGAAUAAGACGCUAAGUUACUUUUGUAUUUAUUUAUUUGUAUUCAAACUUCAAAUCUCAGUGCUGCUUUCUUUGAAACUGUUCUUACUGUUGACAGUAGACACAGAGAGCAAAUAGAUAACAAGAUCUGUUGCUGUUAACUAGUAUUUGAAAGCUACUCUCCAACUGGUGGUAAGAAAAGAAAAGGACAAACUGCUGAUGCAUAUUUGAAAGAAGGAAUCUGAAGGGAACAAAGAUAAUGCAGUUGUUUUAUGUGCUACGAAUCGAGGUUCCAGACAGUACAUCCCUUGCUAGGCAUAAUCCGUCUACAACAUGUCCAAUAUCCAUCCGCUCUC